GGAGUUAGAGAGCUGGAGAUGGUGUCUGGUAUAAAGAUCGGAUGAGGUUCAUCUACAGAACUAAGAUUUUGAGGGGCUGGAAGGGAUGAACUCCUAGAACUACUAGAGGAGAAAGUGCUGGAGGACAUUUUGAAUCGAGUGAAAACCCUAAAAAUCCUGAAAAAAUUAAGAAAAAUAAGGAAUGGGAUGUUCGUGGAAAAUCGAACAGGUGGA
rnacentral:lncRNA from 1 species